AGAGAAAGAGAGCUCUCCUCUGACCUCUGAGGGCCAGGACCCAAAGGCCUAGCAUGGCAUUUUUAUGUUUAUUUCAUUUCCUUUUUUUCAUGAGUUCUGGCAAUCAAAUUCAGGUUUUCAUGCUUGUGAGACAAGUAAGUUGCCAAAAGUUAUCUCACCAGUCAAUGGACAGCAAUGUGAACUGCAUGAGUAAUGUACACUUACUCUCGUGAUGACUUAGAGUAUCGAGUCUUGAAGAAGACUCAGCUUUGUCGGGAUGUCAAGACUGCAUCUGCAUCACUCAGGUCAAGCAUGCCUGCAAGAUAAAGGCUGACCUGCUGCUGGCAGGAAUCCCAAGUUCUUGAUAGUGGCCACAGAAGAGGGCAUUGUUUCUCUUACAGAACUGUCCCUUCACGUCCUAGCGUGACUUACAACAUAGUGCUCUCUGAGUUUAGAAAUCUUAAGCUAAUUCUUCUGAAAUGAAAGGUGGGCUUGAAGAAUUGUGCCUAAAAUAUCUGAUACCCUAGUACUGCCCCAUGCUUACCAGGAGCACUGACACAUGGAUGGCCUUCAACAGCCACUGGCUCAGCUCUAUCUCUGUAGAUUUGCCAACUCUGAACUGCAAGUAAUUGGAAAAGAACUUGUCUAUACCAAACAAGCAUGGCAUUUUUUUUUUUCUUGUCAUGAUUCCCUAAAUUGUUGCUAUGUAUCAGAUAGCAACUACUUACAUAGCAUUUACAUAGUAUCAGAUACUAUGAGAGAUCUGGAGAUUAUUCAAAGUGUAAUGUUGUAUAUGGGUUAUAUGCAAAUAUUCCAUAAGGAAUGAGUAUCUUAGGCAUUUUCUUAUCUUUGGAGAGUCUUAAAAGGGCAUUUUCUUAUCUUUGGAGAAUCUUAAAACCAUUUUCCUGCAGGCAUGGUGAGAUGCCGAUAAUGAAAUCAUAUACAUGGACCCUCUUCCUUCCCAAGGAGUGUUCUUUUUAGACUCAUUUUUCCCCCGAUAAGGAAGUAAAGAAACUUAAAUAGCAACUUUUUAACAUUAAAUACACUGUAAGCAAAUGGUUAACAAUAUUAACUUGGUUUAGAUUUGUCUCAGAAGGAGCAGACAGGAUUUUGAAAACUCAAGCACUCAAAAUCUCAUGAGAAAGACCUCCCUGUUCACUUUGACCUCUUCUUGGAGGCAUAGCUGUCCAGUGAGAGGCAUGAAAGGGAAAAAGUAGCGAGGCCAGGGAUGGGCUUCCCCAGCCUCCUCCGGAACGGUCGGUCUAGGUUUGUUGUGAAUCAGUGUCAGAGUUGGGCAGGGCAAGGCUCCCCUCUCCUGCAAGCUGUGAUUAUGAAGGCAUCCAUCUGUCAACAGAGGCUCUCUGCUACGUUUCCAGCCAGCUUCCUCCCCACUGACUCACUCGGUGAUGCCACAUCUAAUGUUUAUGACCUAACGGUUGAUCACCAUGGAACUAGCACAAACCAGGGACUGUGGAGGAGCAACACCAGCGAAGAGACGCUGGGCACUGCAGGAAAAGAGAGAAAGGCCCAUAUUCAUGGAGACCACAGAUGAAGACAGAACAUCCCAUUCCUCAUGUGGACACAGCCACCAGUUGCUAAAACGGAUCCUUGGAAGCUUUCAAGUUUCUUGAAGAAUCCAAAUAAAGACUUAGGGUGACCAAGGACAAACAAAUACCACAGCGUUUAGGAACGAAGGCCGAGGAAUGGGAGGAAAUGUGUAUGGAGCAAUUUAAUAAGGUUUGGAUCACAAAUCCACCAUCCUUUCUUUGCUGCCAGCAUGUGGCAAUGGAUGAAAAGAGAAAAGGCACCAAAUGUCAGGAGAAAGAAGAAAAUCCCUUCCCAAACUGAAACUCGGGAACAGUCCUGGAGGUAUAGUCUCCAAUUGCCAGGGUCAGACUACAAUGGAAAAGAAGGCAGAUGCAGGCCAAGGAGAGCUGGCCAAUAAGAAUGUGGCCACAGCAGGCAGCUUCUGGCAAUGGAGACAUUGAUCAGACGCCAUGGUUCUCAAGAAAGGAAAUGGCCUUCUGCUGUUCAAAUCCUGUCUCCACUCCAAAGCAGUUUGUCUCUUCAAUAGCAUCGAUGACAUAGACACAAAGCAAUUUGUCUCUUCAACAGCAUCAAUGACAUAGACACAAUUGCUUUUUUUCUAGGACACAGGGUAUUGGACAAACAUUGCCUAAAGCAUGGAUGGUGCCAGUCUGAAGAGUAAAGUUUGGGGUUACCAGCUGUGUUGGUGCUGAGUAUUGAACCUAUAGGGAGGGGGCCCACAUAUUCUUCAGUAUAACUAUUAGUCACAUUAUUUUUUGUAUGCCUAGUCAAUGGCUGCCCCUGUUUUUCCUUUCACAUAAAGUUGGUUCUAGGUCUACAUUAUUUCUCAAGUGUUGAAAUAAAUGUGCAAAAUCCAAAAAGCUUAAGGCAUGGGCAAACAUCUAUAGACAUUUUUUUAUGGUAUUCAUCUGACUGG
rnacentral:lncRNA from 1 species